CUAACACACGCAAGUCGAACGCACUCGACCUUCGGGUCACAUGAGUGAGUGGCGAACGGGUGAGUAACACGUGAGGAACCUGCCCCGAAGACUGGAAUAACCCGAGGAAACUCGGGCUAAUACCGGAUAUCCCCACCAGGUCGCAUGGCCAGGUGAGGAAAUGCUCCGGCGCUUCGGGAGGGUCUCGCGGCCUAUCAGCUAGUUGGUGAGGUAACGGCUCACCAAGGCAUCGACGGGUAGCUGGUCUGAGAGGACGAUCAGCCACACUGGGACUGAGACACGGCCCAGACUCCUACGGGAGGCAGCGGUGGGGAAUCUUGCGCAAUGGGCGAAAGCCUGACGCAGCCACGCCGCGUGAGGGAUGAAGGCUUUCGGGUUGUAAACCUCUUUCAGCAGGGACGAAAAUGACGGUACCUGCAGAAGAAGCUCCGGCCAACUACGUGCCAGCAGCCGCGGUAACACGUAGGGAGCAAGCGUUGUCCGGAUUUAUUGGGCGUAAAGAGCUCGUAGGCGGGUCAGUCAGUCGGGUGUGAAAACUUGAGGCUCAACCUCAAGAGGCCACUCGAUACUGCUGUGACUAGAGUCCGGUAGAGGGAGUGU
rnacentral:rRNA from 1 species